GUGGGGAAUAUUGGACAAUGGGCGCAAGCCUGAUCCAGCAAUGCCGCGUGGGUGAAGAAGGCCUUCGGGUUGUAAACUGCUUUUGUACGGAACGAAACGGUCCGGGUUAAUACCCUGGGCUAAUGACGGUACCGUAAGAAUAAGCACCGGCUAACUACGUGCCAGCAGCCGCGGUAAUACGUAGGGUGCAAGCGUUAAUCGGAAUUACUGGGCGUAAAGCGUGCGCAGGCGGUGCUGUAAGACAGGCGUGAAAUCCCCGGGCUCAACCUGGGGAUUGGGCGUGUGACUGCAGUGCUGGAGUACGGCAGAGGGGGAUGGAAUUCCGCGUGUAGCAGUGAAAUGCGUAGAUAUGCGGAGGAACACCGAUGGCGAAGGCAGUCCCCUGGGCCUGUACUGACGCUCAUGCACGAAAGCGUGGGGAGCAAACAGGAUUAGAUACCCUGGUAGUCC
rnacentral:rRNA from 1 species